rnacentral:lncRNA from 1 species
UUGACUUUCAUGGGACAGAGUCUCAGUACCUUUAAAAAAUUGAUACAUAGAAUUUAACAUAAAAAUAUAUAAGCCAGAGGUUGCCCACAUAGUUAGAUCCAAAUGAGGCUUUCGUUAAAUUGGCAAGUUUUGUUGGUGAGGGGUAGGAGGAUGGAAUUAUUGUGAGAUUAUUUCCAGCCAAGGAAUUGACACCUUCAAACUGGGACAUGCUUGUGUGGUGCAGUCUAUAGGAAAGAGAAACAAUACAUGUGGGUGCUCAUACAUGAAUACAUAUAUACAUAUAUAUGGGGAUCGUCGGCCAACGUUGUCAAUUUAAGGUUAUCCUUACAACAUAUUGUGACCGUCUAUUUCGUUUGUAGUUUAAUUUUCAGUAUUCCGCAGUAUUAAUCGAGACGAAUUACCAAAAUACUCUUCUAUAAUUCUUUCGUCCGCACCAUUAAACUGCGAACGCUAAAAAUUUUUUAACAUCCUCAAUAUUAAACUACGGAUACUGAAAAACUUAAAUAAAAAAAAAGACGUGAUACUUUUUUUAUUCCUUGGUAAUACUAGGGUUAAAGUAUAUCUGGACAUUCUAGUGUUGCUAAUGUUUAUUCCUCCUCCUACUACUCAUCAAUUGAAGAUUAGUCGACUGUUGUUCUAUGUAUGGUGCGUAGAAUUUGCCGUUUGCUGUUUGUAUGUUUGUUUGAUAUAUAUAGCUAGCCAUCUCUUUUGGUCUUUUUUUUUUUAUAUAUAUAAAAAAAAUGAAAAAUCCAGCAUUACAGUUUCUCACUUUCACUCUAUUGAACAGAGGAGGUGAAGUUUUAAACAUAACGAGAUGAACUCAAAGAUUGUUAAACAGGAUCUUGAUAGAAUCAGUGGCUUCUCGAGUCUGAUCAUCUCACAGGUUCCGGUGGAUGAAGUGGUAAGAACAAGCGUGUUACUCUUGGAAGUAUGCGACUCGUCUUGAUAUAAAUCCAAUGAAGAUGGUCAGGCUAUGAAUAAUGUGGAUGAAAGGGAAUUAGAGAUGGGGAGAAUGAUAGGAGUAAGGUGGAGGAGAGAGAAUGGAGAAGGAAAGGACUGAAGAAAAAUGUUUUAAAAAAAAAGACAGGCUCUGCAGAAUCUAAAUUGACCGGUCAUACUUAACGUACGUAUUUUAAUAACUUUUAUAAUUAAAGUAUUUUGGUCAUUUGUCCCGUCCGCAAUAUUAAACUGUCUAAUACUGCGGACAAAAGUAUUAACCAUUCUAUCUAUGGAUGGACGAUCA